CUUAGUCUGAACUGUGCUUUGGGGGUCCUGUUUAACAUUUAAAAAUAAGCAAGAUUUAUUACCCCAGGUCUAACUCAUUCUCAGGACAAAUCUCCUCCAGCUAUUUAGAUAUUUCUAAGUAGUUUCAAUUUGCAUUUAACAAUUUUCCCAUUUAGCAAUGGAAGUAUGAGCACGAUUAUUUUGUUCACAAUAUAAAGUCUAAUUAUAUGAUUAAAUGAUUAUACCCUACAAAAAUUUUAAAGCCCCAACUAUGAAAAACCUGUACUCUUAGAGCUUCGGUUUCGGUGACCAUAAUUCUGUUGCAUGCAUAAAAUAUUCUCUUAAGAAAUACAAUAGCAUAACUCUGAAUGCAAUUAGAAUUUUAUUGCCGUCUGUAAGGUAAAAUAGUGACUUAAAAGUCAGAUCAAAUUUCUAUAAUAUCUAGAGCUACAAAAAUACCAGUCUGGAAAAAUAGGCUUUAUUCUCCAAUUCAUACUAAGAUCAUAUUUCUGCAAGGACAAAAUGUCCUAUUGCUAUAAGUUUACAAACUUCUGAAUUAUUGAAAUAUAUUUUAAGAGACUGUUGAAGGGCAAAAAGGAAGUUUUCUGGUUUUACUACAAAAAUGGAAGAAGGAUCGCUGCUUUUUCAAUCAAACGAAGUGGCACAGCAGGGAAGAUAUUUCAGGCAAGAGAGCUUAUCUGAAGAAACAGCUCUCUGAUUAGAGCAGUAGUGAUAAAUCAGCCACCAACGUUCUCUAGUGUAGAGCCCGGGCUUAGUCACUCCAACCAAUGGAAUCCCCGUUAGACUUGAACUAGUAGCUGAUGGUACAGCGAAAGGGAAUUUCGGAAUCCACAGUUUAAGGUGUAUUUAUCCAUUAACAAGUCUGAGACUGUUCCUCCAUCGAAAAGUCAAAAGAUCGAACUAGGAGCGCUGCAGAAGAGUAAGCCCCCCUCACUCGGUGUCUCUGCCCGCCUAGUGCAGAACCCACAAAUCACACCAGCUCUCCUGCCCCAUUGCCUGAGACCGGUUCAAUUUAACAGAUGACGAGUUCAGUUUUCCAAGUGAAAUAAAAUCUUGAUAGAAACGCGGUCA
rnacentral:lncRNA from 12 species